AAAGUACUAGUUGCAUCACAGAAACAAGACUAGUGAAAAUUGCCCAUGGUUUCCAGCAUGGUUACAGCGGUCAAACCUGGGAAAUUUCGCAUCCACGUGGAUCCAAAGAACCUGAUCGCAGCAUGUAGUUAUGAGAGAACAUUAUCCACACUAGAUUUCUAGAAGUCAUUGCAAAGGUACCUAAUACCACAGUAUUCAGUGUUCUACAUGCGCGUUCAGGGUUCUGUGAGAUCAAGUUGGGUAAGAGUCGAGGAAAUUGAUUACAUUGAACACCCCAGUCGACAGGCACCAGUUUUAAAAU